AUUGCUUCUUGGCCUUUUGGCUAAGAUCAAGUGUAGUAUCUGUUCUUAUCAGUUUAAUAUCUGAUACAUCCCUUAUCUAGGGACCAUAUAUUAAAUUGAUUUUUGGAACAGGGAGAUGGAAUAGGGGCUUGCUCCAUCCACUCCGCGCAUCAACCCAGUAUUGCAGUGCCUCCGGGAAUGGUGCACAUUUC